ACGUUUCGAACUAUGGCGAAACGUAGCGGACGGCUCAGUAACCCGUGGCUAACCUGCCCUUGAGACGAGUAUAAUCCCGGGAAACUGGGGCUAAUACGCGAUAGGUGAAGAUGCCUGGAAUGGUUCAUCAUCUAAAGGACGUUGAGACCAUGUUUCACAGUGUCGCUCAAGGAUGGGGCCGCGGCCGAUCAGGUAGUUGGUGAGGUAACUGCUCACCAAGCCUUUGACCGGUACGGGCCGUGAGAGCGGGAGCCCGGAGAUGGGCACUGAGAUAAGGGCCCAGGCCCUAUGGGGCGCAGCAGUUGCGAAACCUCCGCAAUGCGCGAAAGCGUGACGGGGUUACCCCAAGUGCCAUCCGCUGAGGACGGCUUUUCUUUGGUGUAAUGAGCCAAAGGAAUAAGGGGAGGGCAAGGCUGGUGUCAGCCGCCGCGGUAAUACCAGCUCCCCGAGUGGUAGGGACAAUUAUUGGGCUUAAAGCGUCCGUAGCCGGCCUGACAAGUCUUUCGUUAAAUCCAGCGACUUAAUCGUUGGGCUGCGGGAGAUACUAUCGGGCUAGGGGACGGGAGAGGCCGAUGGUAUUCUUGGGGUAGGGGUGAAAUCCUAUAAUCCCAGGAGGACCACCAGUGGCGAAGGCGAUCGGCUAGAACGCGCUCGACGGUGAUGGACGAAAGCUGGGGGAGCGAACCGGAUUAGAUACCCGGGUAGUCCCAGCUGUAAACGAUGCGAGCUAGGUGUUGGGGUGGUUACGAACCGCU
rnacentral:rRNA from 1 species